rnacentral:rRNA from 1 species
AUGAACGCUAGCGGCAGGCCUAAUACAUGCAAGUCGAACGGGUUGUUGUAGCAAUACAACGAUCAGUGGCGCACGGGUGCGUAACGCGUAUGCAACCUACCUUAAACUGGGGGAUAGCCUUCCGAAAGGAAGAUUAAUACCGCAUAAGAUCACACAAGGGCAUCUGCGAGUGAUUAAAGAUUUAUUGGUUUAAGAUGGGCAUGCGUGCCAUUAGCUAGUUGGUAGGGUAACGGCCUACCAAGGCGACGAUGGCUAGGGGUUCUGAGAGAAUGAUCCCCCACACUGGUACUGAGAUACGGACCAGACUCCUACGGGAGGCAGCAGUAGGGAAUAUUGGGCAAUGGACGGAAGUCUGACCCAGCCAUGCCGCGUGAAGGAAGAAGGCCUUCUGGGUUGUAAACUUCUUUUAUCUAGGAAGAAAAAGUCCCUGCGGGGAAAACUGACGGUACUAGAUGAAUAAGCACCGGCUAACUCCGUGCCAGCAGCCGCGGUAAUACGGAGGGUGCAAGCGUAUGUCCGGAUUUAUUGGGUUUAAAGGGUGCGUAGGCGGCCCGUUAAGUCAGUGGUGAAAGCCUCCAGCUCAACUGGAGAACUGCCAUUGAUACUGACAGGCUUGAGUACAGACGAGGGUUGGCGGAAUUGAUUGUGUAGCGGUGAAAUGCAUAGAUACAAUCAAGAACUCCGAUUGCGUAGGCAGCUAACUAGGCUGUAACUGACGCUGAGGCACGAAAGCGUGGGGACGCGAACAGGAUAGAUACCCUGGUAGUCCCACGCUGUAAACGAUGAUGACUCGAUGUUGGCGAUAAACAGUCAGCGUCUUAGCGAAAGCGUUAAGUCAUCCACCUGGGGAGUACGCCCGCAAGGGUGAAACUCAAGGAAUUGACGGGGGCCCGCACAAGCGGUGGAGCAUGUGGUUUAAUUCGAUGAUACGCGAGGAACCUUACCUAGGCUAGAAUGCGCGUGACCGGCUCAGAGAUGAGCCUUUCCUUCGGGACACAAAGCAAGGUGCUGCAUGGCCGUCGUCAGCUCGUGCCGUGAGGUGUUGGGUUAAGUCCCGCAACGAGCGCAACCCCUAUCUUUAGUUGCCAGCACAUUAUGGUGGGGGACUCUAAAGAGACUGCCUGCGCAAGCAGUGAGGAAGGUGGGGAUGACGUCAGGUCAUCAUGGCCCUUACGCCUAGGGCUACACACGUGCUACAAUGGGCGGUACAGAGGGUUGCUACCUGGUGACAGGAUGCCAAUCUCAAAAAGCCGCUCUCAGUUCGGAUCGAAGUCUGCAACUCGACUUCGUGAAGCUGGAAUCGCUAGUAAUCGCGUAUCAGCAAUGACGCGGUGAAUACGUUCCCGGGCCUUGUACACACCGCCCGUCAAGCCAUGGAAGUCAGGGAGACCUGAAGACGGUGCCCGUUAAAGGAGCCGUUUAGGGUAAAACUGGUAACUGGGGCU